AUCCCUGGCCAUGCUCAAUGGGUUAAGGGUCUAACGUUGCCGUGAACUGUGAUGUAGGUCACAGACGCAGCUCAGCUCCUGUGUUGCUGUGGCAUAGCCAGCAGCUGCAGCUCUGAUUCAACCCCUAGCCUAGGAAUUUACAUAUGCCAUGGGUGUGGCUCUAAAAAGACAAAAAAAGAGAGAUGGUUUCCCUGAGACCAAUUUGGCCCUCAGACUCAAGUUUUGGUUCACACAUAAAUUAAUUUUCACCAGAAGAAUGUGUUAUUAACUGAAUACUUUCUUUAAAAGGUGAUAUGCAGAAAUGCAAGGGGAAAAAAAACCCCAAUUUCUAUAUGUCUUUUGUAGUUCUUUUGGGAAACAUGUUACAUGUGACUGUACAAUAAAUAUGUUUAAGUACAUUUUAAGUUUUUUUCCUCUUCUCAGUAAGAUUAUACAUUUGCUCAAAUAAUGCUGCUUUUGUUCAAAAUAUGUUUAGACCAGGCUUUAAGGCCUCUAGCAUUUUCUUUGAAAUGUCCUUGGUUGUAGAAAAUCUUCAUCUUUCAAAGAUGAAGGUUAUUUGGAGCCAGGUCUGGUAAUCAAGCUGCACAAUUCCAUUUGAGGUUAAAACAAAAAAAAUGUGAUAAAUAUGUUAAAAUAUGAUAAGAGAUUAUGAUAAAUGUGGAAAAGCAAUUGACUUUAAAAACAAAUCACUUCUAAAGUGCUAAAAUAAUUUUAGGCAAUGCCAACAUCGUUGGAAUUACAUUGCCUUCCAAGGUGACUGCUUUAAACAUCUAACUACAGAUUCCUUUGUGAAAACUUAGUUUUGUAACUUAUUGCUGACACUUCAUGCCAUUGUGGUCUGACUCAGAAGGAAAUUCCAAGAACUCAGGGACUGUGAUUUCAACAGUUAAGUACCUUUUUACUUAAGUGCUUAGUAUGAUGCCAGACAUUCUGUGGCAACUGAACAAACAGUAGACGUUGAGGAUGGCUGGCUUUGAUAUCAAUGGAGUUGAUAAUGUAAGAACACUUGGCAAGACUUAAGUGACCACAGCCUGGCAGCUUCAGGAUGGCUGAUGUUGGCUUAGAAUAGAAAGUGUAAUAGUGCUACUUACUGGUAAUUUUUUUUUGCUCCUUUUCAUGUCAAGUUAUAAAACGUGCCUCCUACUUGUGUUUAACACAUCUUAUGGAAGCUGUGUCAUGAAGCCUAUAUUUGUUGAAAAACAGCCACUGACCAUGGAAGAGCUUGAGCUUGCCACUGAACAAACAUGCAGUGGCUCAUUUUGAGGCCAUGCUGGUCGUACUGAUGACUGUUAGCCCCAGGGAAGGCCUCAUAGAUUGAUGACCCACAAAGUAAAGUCAAGCCACUAACAGCUAUCCAUUUGGAUUUACACCUUGAAAAGUAUUCGUGUUUUUACUCCAAGGUAUAUUAAUGGACCCCUACAUGUAAAAAUUGUAGCAUAUGCUCUAAAUGUUUUCCUGAAAGAGUUUACAUGUUGGCAGGGGAGAUCAGGAUAGGCAGAAAUAAUUUAAAAAUGCAAAGGAGGAAGUGACAUGAAUUAUUUGAGAGGCAUAGAUAAAGUGAGAUAUUUGGAGGAAGGAGGGUCAAGGAAUGCUCAUGGAGGAAGUAGCAUUGGAACUGAGAUUUGAGAGAGAUCAGAGGAGACAUCAACGAUGUAGAAGCAAAACUCCAGGAGCUGGUACAGGGGAGAAGUGAGGUGUUUGACUGGCUGGAAUGUGGGAGUCUAAAGAAAGGGGCUGAGAACAGGUAGAAGUAGAUGAGACUUAGAGUGUAGGGAGUGGGGAAAGGGAAUAGAUGGAUGAUAGGUUAUGAACUUUGUUUUCUUCAAAACAAUCUGGCAACACUGUUUCAGGGAGAGACCUAUUUUCAGCUAAUGUUCAACCAUCCACUAAUGUGCAAACAUCAGCUUGAGAUGCUGUCAACCAUUGUUAGAUGUGAACCAAACUUGAGUUGUAAAUGCAUUUUUAAUUCUGUGGUUGUAGCCUUCCUGAUUGAUCUAGCAAAUUAAACUUUUCACACAUGAAUGGUGUCAGUGUAUGUGUGUUAGCUUUGUACUGUCCACUAGCCAGACCAAAAAGAAAAAUUAACUGUUGGAUGAAGUGCUCUUGAACAUGCAGGUUCAAGCAUUAACUGCCUAUUUUUUUCUAUGAAUGAUGAAUCUGGGAAAAUACUUCAGGAAGAGGUAGAACUCUGUCAGUGUGCCUGUUUAUAGCCCUUUAAGUAAGAAGAGACCAGUGGAAUGAUUUGUUCUGAUUUUCUUAAACAUUUGUGUGUGUCAGAGAGCAGGUUGGUGCAAGCUUCUUUUCAGUUCCCCAGGCUAUAAUAAACCCAACAUCCAGCCAUGCAUCUGGCAUUGGAAUGCUGGCCAGGAUGUCAGACAGCUUGACCACAUUACUUUCUAUUAUCCUGCUUAUUCUGUUAUCAAACAAAACAAAACCCAGCCCCCUAAACCCAAAACUUGUGAUUUCUGCUCAGUUACCACCAAACCCGAAGCUGGUGAAGUCAUCAGCCAAAAGAGGAUUGUGGGCAUCUUUACAAUGCCGAGUCACCCCCAGAGAUGCGUGCUUUGACUGAAUUAACGUUGCAGUGUUUUGAGUGUAGCUUUUAACAAUAUUGAGCUCUCAUAACCGAGCGUGGGAGUAAUAACAGAACAAGCAAAUUAUAGGGAACUAGAGAAGGGAUUCCACUACCAAAGAAGCAAACCAAAGGAAUAGUUUUUGUGUGAGAUGUGAAUUUGGUUCCCUAUACAUUCCAGUGUCCCUUCCAAAAAUAAAAAUAUGUCUUUUUUUCAUAUGGAACCAAAGCCUGAAAUUGUGGUCUGCACGCACAAUCAAUUCAGUACAGCAAGAACGCUGCAUCUUGUGGUGUUGUUUAGGUUUCUUUGAUAGUUUUCCUCAGAGUACUGAGGCUAAGUAUAAUUUUAAUUCAGUGCUCUUGCCUGUAGAUGACAAAGGACAGUGGAGCAUGGGAAUAAAAUGUAUCAAUGAAUGCUCAGGGUUACUUUUUCAACUAAAUAUACCUACUGUAAGCCAGACUCUGCGCUAGAUUCUGCAGGGUAUACAAAGUUUAGGAAAACAUGGCCUUUUUCUCAAGGAGGUUAUAUCUAGUAGGGGACAUAAGGUAAAUGUCCAACUGACCAAAUUACAAGGAAGGAUAUGUUAGAGGCCAUAAGUGAGUUUACAAGCAAUAGCCAUGAUGGCUUGAAGCAGAAAAAUGUCCAGGAAAAGGUAAAUGAAGGUUAUAGGUGUGAAUCUCUAAGAAUCUGGGUGACUGGAAAGUGGGCCACCUCAUUCAUGGGAAUAUGGAAGUCAGGAGAAAGAGUAGGCUUGCCUGUGAAUGUGUUGAGUUUGAGCGGUGGCUGGAAGCCCAUCAAGAGAGAAUCUGAGAGUAGGAGUGUGGGUGGACAUGCAGAGAUUGAAGUAAAAGUUGUGGAGGUGAUCAGAUCCUUAGGAAAAGCUACAUUAAGAGAAUAAAGAAGAGCACUGGGAGCUUUUAGGGAAAAUCUGAUUUUAGGAGACAGUAGGAAGAAGAGGAAGUGGUAAGAUACUGAAGGAAUGAGCCAGGCAGUAGAUGGACCUGGGGAAUGCAGGGUGAUAAAAUGCAAGAGAGGAUUUCAGGGAGAAGUUGAGCAACUCUGAGGAUGGUAAGCGGGGAUUCAAGGAAGAUGCAGACAAAGAAGAACUGGGAUUUAGUGAUUAGAUGGUGAUUGAUGCCCUUUAAGAGAGUGGUUUCAGUAGAAUGAUGGGACCAGACACCACAUUAAUCAUUAAAAAUUUGCUGAAGUAUACAAAACAAAUUACGCAAAGAUCACAAAUUUUCCUGUUAGGGCAACUUCUCGGUCCUUUAAUGUCAGGGAAAUAGUGCAAGAGCUAGAGGAAAUUAUUUCACAAUGGAUUAAGCG
rnacentral:lncRNA from 1 species